rnacentral:lncRNA from 1 species
UGGGAAGGUGAAGAUUGAGGAUCCUUUUAAGUAGUUUUUGCUCAGCUAGCAAAACAAGCUGGGACAUGCAAGACAGAUAAACACAGCUGUUUGGGGCUGUCACUUGGGGCUCAGGAGCCAAGGUGUCCUGCUGUAGUGAAAAGUGCACCGGAAUUAAAUAGCUAGGCUUCUAAGCCCUACCACAGAGAGUCAACAGACAAACUGCCCAGGGAAAAGUUAUGACCUCAGGCAAAGUGAAUUUCUACAGCUAAGGCAGAUCCUGAAGAAGCUCACAAAUAAAGGCUGCAUACUCACACAUUCCCUGAAGCUUGACAGUGCCAGCCACCAUACUGUGAGGGAGCUGAAGUAAGCCCACAUGAGGAAGAAUUGAGGUCCCAAGCCAACAGCUGCAGCUAAGAUCCAAGCUCUCAACCAGUACCAGUUCAUCCGUUAUGCACACUAAGAUAUGGAAGCUAAAAGAGGACUAAGAGGAUUCUGGGGAUAUUACAAGAUAUUGCAGACUAUCUUGUUUUCCUGGAAAAGGAUUUUACCUCAGUCGACUGAAUUACUUUUUUCACUGUGUCUUGCCACUCUUCGUGCAUGCAUCAAAGACCCUAAUAUGACUUCUGGUGGCCUGGGACUCCUUGGGAAAACAGAAAAGGGGCCACAAAUCCCAUUUUGGGAACAAUCUGUUUUACUCAUGGAACCCCUGGAAUUAGAGGUGUGUAAGUACCUCUCAAAAUCUGUCUUUGUCUUCUGGCUAUGCUUUUUAUGAGGCCCUGGAAUUUGUAGUCCUAGCCCUGUUCUUAGAGUGUCUCACUAGGAGGCGUAAUAAUCCAAUUAGGAAACUAGCCAAUGAAAAAUCUCAUAACUACUGGAUCUUCUUCUGUUUAUCUGUGUGGUUACAUAUGUGUUAUGUGUGUAAUAUCUAUUAAAAAGGGCUCUAAUUAAUUGGCCUAAGAACAGUAAGCACUUAAAUAAAAUAUUUUUAAGGGAAAAGUAAAA